rnacentral:rRNA from 1 species
CACGUGAGCAACCUGCCCAUGACUCUGGGAUAAGCAUUCGAAAGGGUGUCUAAUACCGGAUAUUCACAUCAUUCUGCAUGGGGUGGUGUGGAAAGUUUUUGCGGUCAUGGAUGGGCUCGCGGCCUAUCAGCUUGUUGGUGGGGUAAUGGCCUACCAAGGCGACGACGGGUAGCCGGCCUGAGAGGGCGACCGGCCACAUUGGGACUGAGAUACGGCCCAAACUCCUACGGGAGGCAGCAGUGGGGAAUAUUGCACAAUGGGCGGAAGCCUGAUGCAGCAACGCCGCGUGCGGGAUGACGGCCUUCGGGUUGUAAACCGCUUUCAGCAGGGACGAAGCGCAAGUGACGGUACCUGCAGAAGAAGCACCGGCCAACUACGUGCCAGCAGCCGCGGUGAUACGUAGGGUGCGAGCGUUGUCCGGAAUUAUUGGGCGUAAAGAGCUUGUAGGCGGUUUGUCGCGUCGGAAGUGAAAACUCAGGGCUUAACUCUGAGCCUGCUUCCGAUACGGGCAGACUAGAGGAAGUUAGGGGAGAACGGAAUUCCUGGUGGAGCGGUGGAAUGCGCAGAUAUCAGGAGGAACACCGGUGGCGAAGGCGGUUCUCUGGGACUUUCCUGACGCUGAGAAGCGAAAGCGUGGGGAGCAAACAGGCUUAGAUACCCUGGUAGUCCACGCCGUAAACGGUGGGCACUAGGUGUGGGUCACAUUCCACGUGAUCCGUGCCGUAGCUAACGCAUUAAGUGCCCCGCCUGGGGAGUACGGCCGCAAGGCUAAAACUCAAAGGAAUUGACGGGGGCCCGCACAAGCGGCGGAGCAUGCGGAUUAAUUCGAUGCAACGCGAAGAACCUUACCUGGGUUUGACAUAUGCCGGAAACAUCUAGAGAUAGGUGCCCCGUAAGGUCGGUAUACAGGUGGUGCAUGGCUGUCGUCAGCUCGUGUCGUGAAAUGUUGGGUUAAGUCCCGCAACGAGCGCAACCCUCGUCCUAUGUUGCCAGCAAUUCGGUUGGGGACUCAUAGGAAACUGCCGGGGUCAACUCGGAAGAA